AUUGAACGCUGGCGGCAGGCCUAACACAUGCAAGUCGAGCGGAUGACAGGAGCUUGCUCCUGAAUUCAGCGGCGGACGGGUGAGUAAUGCCUAGGAAUCUGCCUGGUAGUGGGGGACAACGUUUCGAAAGGAACGCUAAUACCGCAUACGUCCUACGGGAGAAAGCAGGGGACCUUCGGGCCUUGCGCUAUCAGAUGAGCCUAGGUCGGAUUAGCUAGUUGGUGAGGUAAUGGCUCACCAAGGCGACGAUCCGUAACUGGUCUGAGAGGAUGAUCAGUCACACUGGAACUGAGACACGGUCCAGACUCCUACGGGAGGCAGCAGUGGGGAAUAUUGGMCAAUGGGCGAAAGCCUGAUCCAGCCAUGCCGCGUGUGUGAAGAAGGUCUUCGGAUUGUAAAGCACUUUAAGUUGGGAGGAAGGGUUGUAGAUUAAUACUCUGCAAUUUUGACGUUACCGACAGAAUAAGCACCGGCUAA
rnacentral:rRNA from 1 species